UACGGGGGGGGCAAGCGUUGUUCGGAAUUACUGGGCGUAAAGGGUGCGCAGGCGGCCGCGCAAGUCGAGUGUGAAAUCCCCGAGCUUAACUUGGGAAUUGCGCUCGAAACUACGUGGCUGGAGUGUGGCAGAGGAAGGUGGAAUUCCACGUGUAGCGGUGAAAUGCGUAGAUAUGUGGAGGAACACCGAUGGCGAAGGCAGCCUUCUGGGCCAACACUGACGCUCAUGCACGAAAGCGUGGGGAGCAAACAGG
rnacentral:rRNA from 1 species